rnacentral:lncRNA from 1 species
AAAAGGUAGCUCCAUGUCACCACAGUGGUGACCCUUCUCUCUGACUCAUUUCCCAUUAUGAGCACAAUUAGCGUGCAGCAUGUGUCCUGGGAGAUUAAUGAUCCGCUGGAGGGAAGAAAGAGGAACUUGGGGAAUGGAUCUGGGUGUAGUCAGAGCUCGCCUCUCCCUGGGAGCUGCCUUGGUGCUGUAAAGGAUCUCAUGUCUUUUGCCAGCUUUGAUGAAACUUGCUAGUUGGAAAGCAGAGUGAAAUCUCAGGCUCUACAACUCUUGACAUAAGUAUUUUAUUCAUUUUUGGUGUCUAUGUUCUUGAAGUACUUAAGAGAUUUGGGGCUAUGCAAGUAAUAGACCAACUUUGUGAUUCAUAUUAAAAUUAAGUGAUUUAAACGCAGGAUUUUUAAUUUGAAAUUAUUUAAGUUUAUAAACAGUAUGGGAACAUUUAGAAAGACCUGGAUUCAUUCUGUUUAUAAUUGUAAUCCAUUAAAUUUAUGAAAAUUACCUAAGAAAUCUGAAAAGGUUUGGUUUAGCCAUCAGGCAAUUGAAGUACCUAAACAAGGAAAUAAAAUAUAUUAAAUUUAUAAAUCUUACUUUAAAUGUUUGAAUGAGUUAAAUAACUCCGUUUGUAUUGGGACCAAACUCUUUAACUCUUUAAGACUGCCUUAAAUCAUUUUGUUAAAAAUCUUAGAUUGAUUUCCACUUCUAUGUAGAGAGUUAGAAAGUAUAUCACCUCUACCCUAACAACAAGAAUAUGACAAAUGAAAUACAAAAUGAUAAUGUUCCUUGAACUCAUCAGAGGACUGACAUCACAGGGCAACUAAGCAACUAGAAUUCCAAAGAAGGACAAGCCCCUCCAAAGACAGGAAGCAUGAGGGCAGGCUCAUCAGUGUCAGAGCAGGGGAGACCAGCACAGACACCUUACAAGCAGAAUGACCUUCUGUGGCUACAGAGAAAGGCUUCAGGCAAAGAGAUGCAGCUCUGGGCCCCAGAGUCCGCUGGAGCACACUGAAGCUGGAGCACACUGAAGUGGAAGAUGGGGCUGCAGACAGAGACUGGGCAGCCUCUGCUCCAGGGAGGCCCGAGAGCCAGAGAGCAGAUUCCAUAAGAAGAAUAACUCCCAUUCCUCAUGCAUGAGACCCUCUGCUAAAUGCUUCCUGUGCACCACCUCCAGAAAUCCUCCCAAGCCAGGACACCAGCAGUAUUACAGCUAAGAGGACGUGAUGAGUAUUCCAGUCGGAGGAGACACAGAGAAGGGCUUCAUGACCCAAGUGCUGGCAACAAUUCCUUAAGG